GACGUAGGGCGCGAGCGUUGUCCGGAUUUAUUGGGCGUAAAGAGCUCGUAGGCGGCUUGUCGCGUCGCUGUGAAAACCCGGGGCUCAACCCCGGGCCUGCAGCCGAUACGGGCAGACUAGAGUUCGGCAGGGGAGACUGGAAUUCCUGGUGUAGCGGUGAAAUGCGCAGAUAUCAGGAGGAACACCGGUGGCGAAGGCGGGUCUCUGGGCCGAAACUGACGCUGAGGAGCGAAAGCGUGGGGGAGCGAAACAGG
rnacentral:rRNA from 1 species